UUGUCAUUGUCAAAUAUUUAAUAUAGUCUACUUGCAGGGUGUUUGUGAUUAAACAGAUUAUUUCGAAUAUAAAUCACAAUAAAAUAACUUAAACAAACUCCCCACGUUUCUUCUCUUGACCAUCAGUAUGUUCCGAAACAUAAGAUCGGCGGUUGUGAUCAGUAAUAGACCGUUUAAAAAUUUUGGUCAUAAAAGACAACCUAUUCCUGUUGUGACCACAUUUUGGCAUGGUUUCCUUACAUUCACGUUCAUAGGAUUAGCUAUUGAGUGGAAAAGAAUCAAAAACUUUUUGUUUGGCGAUAAUAAUGAAGAUGUCCUUAUCAAGAAAACUGACAGUUAAAAUAAAAUAAUACAUGAUGACAACUUUAGGAAGCUCAAAGAGGUACUUUUAUCUAAAAUAGCUUUUAAGUAGGUAGCUAAAUAUAUUUUGCUUUUCAGAUAAAUAAAACUGUGAUGUUAUAAUUUUUCGAAAAGCCUACAAAGUGUUGUAGCUUGUUCACAAUAAUAAUAAUGUAAGUAGUUAGGUUGUUGUAAAUACUAGAAUGAUACUAUUAAACAGAAAGUGAUUUAUAAAUGUAAUUAAUUGAAAUAAAAUAUUUAUAUACA